rnacentral:rRNA from 1 species
GACGAACGCUGGCGGCGUGCUUAACACAUGCAAGUCGAACGGAAAGGCCCUGCUUGCAGGGUACUCGAGUGGCGAACGGGUGAGUAACACGUGGGUGAUCUGCCCUGCACUUCGGGAUAAGCCUGGGAAACGGGGACUAAUACCGGAUAGGAGCCAUUAUUAGUGUGAUGGUUGGAAAGUUUUUUCGGUGUAGGAUGAGCUCGCGGCCUAUCAGCUUGUUGGUGGGGUAAUGGCCUACCAAGGCGGCGACGGGUAGCCGGCCUGAGAGGGUGGACGGCCACAUUGGGACUGAGGUGCGGCCCAGACUCCUACGGGAGGCAGCAGGGGGGAAUAUUGCACAAGGGGCGCAAGCCUGAUGCAGCGACGCCGCGUGGUGGAUGACGGCCUUCGGGUUGUAAACUCGUUUCGCUAGGGACGAAGCUUUUUGUGACGGUACCUAGAGAAGAAGCACCGGCUAACUACGUG